CAUGAAAGGCUGAAUGUUAAAUUUGAGUUGUGGUGAAUCCCCCUAAGCGGAGGGGCGACCAGUCAGUUACAGAAACCUGUAAAUGCAGCGCGGGCCAUGCCGACUGGGGCAUGCUCACCGGGAGGCACCCGGCACCACACACAGCAGGUGUAGAUUCGAAUCUACCGAAGCAUUAGUCCGGACGUUU
rnacentral:sRNA from 1 species